CCGAAAGCCAUUUUGCAAGCCCUAGAGUCUCCCCUCAUCUCUCUCUUCUCUCUUCUCCCUCUCUUAGCCGCCACCACUUCCGCCGAAGCGGCGUCACCAGCAAGCCACUACCAAACUCCAUCAAACUUACACCAUCUUUUUCCCCUCACUUCCUCCUUUUCAUAGCCUGACCCCAAAUCCUCAAAGUCCCUCUCAAAAUCGAUAAAUCUUACAAAAAUUGAAAUAUUAGCCUUCCCUCUUUCCUCAAAUUCAUAAGGAUUGAGUCAUCCUCUUCGCCCAACACAUACAUAGACGUAAAGAGAUCGAUAAGGGCUAUCAUUUGGCAUUGGUUUAAACCCGAUCUCUGAUGACUUGAAUUUCCGCGAAGCUGCCGACUAGCGGCCACCAUUGAUCGCUCUACAUAGCCGAUGCCACCCUAAGAACCACCCAAAACGUCACUGCCUCUCAUUUUUGCCUCUGGCCUAGUUUAGGUUUCUAUUGUUGGUAAUACCAAAACCAUUUUCCGAUUCACCAAAAUUUAUUCACCAAAAUUUAUGGUUUUGGUGUAUAUCAAUAAUAAAAGCAUGCCCGAGCUCGAACCACUACCUAUCAUCAUUGUUUUGCCAUUGCCCGGGCACUCGAGUUCAUGGAUUUUUAAUAAAAGCAGAAAUAUGUAUUUUAUGAGUUGAAGGUAAAAAGUUGUCUAAUCAAGUCCCAAACGUUUUACCAAAAGCUCUCUUCUCUCUCUUAACUUAAUGUUAUCCAAAGUCCCUACCCCUACACACUCACCUGCCCUACCAAAUCCAAACAAUGAGAAAUCCACAGCACACCUACACAAUCCUAUUAGCAUCACUCCACCACCUACAAACAUACCUAUAACGACUAAAAACUCCGAACAACACCACAACCGACAGAGAGGAAGCAGAUGUCGAUGAAUCAAUUGAAAACCUCACCAACAAAACAGUACCUAAAGCAGCUAACCCAACCACUGUUCCUCAACAACCUAAAAUUUCAUCAAAUUUUGAUAAACCAACAAGCCGGAAUGACAAACACACUGAAAACACCAUAGACACACAUCAGCAACCCCAUGCAAUCCAAAAAACCCAAUCAAACUCUACCGCAAUAGCCCAAAAUUCAACACAAAAAAACAUGCAGACUUCGAGAUUUCCUCCGGGGAAUAACAGAGCUCCUGAACCAUCAACCAGCAAGAGCAUUGAUCAGAUGGUAUCAAAACCAUCAUUUGCAGCGACAGCGCAGACAAAAUUACAAACUCUAACUAAUGGUGAAACUGCAGUAGAAAUUAGACAUGGAUCUCACCUAGGGAAGCCAACUGUUUUCUUUCUGUCGAAGAUUAUUUCAUAAAUCUAGCUCAGGAAUGCAAACUUACUAUUAUUGGUAAGUCCUUGAGAGGGAAGACUUCGAUGGAGGAGAUUAGGAAAAUCUUUGUGAGGAAGUUUCAUAUGACUAGUAUUAUUAAAAUUGCAUAUUUUGACCCCCGACAUGUUUACAUUCAUAUCUCUAAUAAAGUAGAUUACAACCACAUCCGAUUCAAAGAAUACAUAGAUAUUAGGGAUGCACCAAUGAAAAUCCUGAAGUGGAGUGAAUUUUAAACCAGAAGAGGAAACAACCAUUGUACCGGUUUGGAUUUUAGUUCAUCAA